rfam:Oryza glumipatula chromosome 1, whole genome shotgun sequence.
UUCAAGUGCGACAAUAAGUUUCCGCGUCCAACUUUAAUCGUCCGUCUUAUUUGAAAUGCUUUUAUAAUUAGUAUUUUUGUUGUUAUGAGAUGAUAAAAUAUAAAUAGUAAUUUACUCAUGACUUAUGUUUUUUAAUUUUUUUAAAAAAAUAAAUAAAAUGGGCGGUUAAAGUUGGGUGCGAAAAAACCAUGGAUGUACUUAAA